CGAAAGGGAAACAGCCCAGACCACCAGCUAAGGUCCCAAAAUAUAUGUUAAGUGGAAAAGGAUGUGGCGUUGCCCAGACAACUAGGAUGUUGGCUUAGAAGCAGCCAUCAUUUAAAGAGUGCGUAAUAGCUCACUAGUCGAGUGACACUGCGCCGAAAAUGUACCGGGGCUAAACAUAUUACCGAAGCUGUGGAUUGUCCUUUGGACAAUGGUAGGAGAGCGUUCUAAGGGCGUUGAAGCAUGAUCGUAAGGACAUGUGGAGCGCUUAGAAGUGAGAAUGCCGGUGUGAGUAGCGAAAGACGGGUGAGAAUCCCGUCCACCGAUUGACUAAGGUUUCCAGAGGAAGGCUCGUCCGCUCUGGGUUAGUCGGGUCCUAAGCUGAGGCCGACAGGCGUAGGCGAUGGAUAACAGGUUGAUAUUCCUGUACCACCUAUAAUCGUUUUAAUCGAUGGGGGGACGCAGUAGGAUAGGCGAAGCGUGCGAUUGGAUUGCACGUCUAAGCAGUAAGGCUGAGUAUUAGGCAAAUCCGGUACUCGUUAAGGCUGAGCUGUGAUGGGGAGAAGACAUUGUGUCUUCGAGUCGUUGAUUUCACACUGCCGAGAAAAGCCUCUAGAUAGAAAAUAGGUGCCCGUACCGCAAACCGACACAGGUAGUCAAGAUGAGAAUUCUAAGGUGAGCGAGCGAACUCUCGUUAAGGAACUCGGCAAAAUGACCCCGUAACUUCGGGAGAAGGGGUGCUCUUUAGGGUUAACGCCCAGAAGAGCCGCAGUGAAUAGGCCCAAGCGACUGUUUAUCAAAAACACAGGUCUCUGCUAAACCGUAAGGUGAUGUAUAGGGGCUGACGCCUGCCCGGUGCUGGAAGGUUAAGAGGAGUGGUUAGCUUCUGCGAAGCUACGAAUCGAAGCCCCAGUAAACGGCGGCCGUAACUAUAACGGUCCUAAGGUAGCGAAAUUCCUUGUCGGGUAAGUUCCGACCCGCACGAAAGGCGUAACGAUUUGGGCACUGUCUCAACGAGAGACUCGGUGAAAUCAUAGUACCUGUGAAGAUGCAGGUUACCCGCGACAGGACGGAAAGACCCCGUGGAGCUUUACUGUAGCC
rnacentral:rRNA from 1 species